AAUUGCAGAAUCCCGUGAACCAUCGAGUCUUUGAACGCAAGUUGCGCCUGAAGCCAUUAGGUUGAAGGCACGUCUGCCUGGGCGUCACGCAUUGCGUCAUCCACUCACCCCGUGCCUCAUCGGCAGGUAAGUGCGUGGGCGGAUAUUGGCCCCCCGUGCACAUUGGUGCUCGGCCGGCCUAAAAAUGACGGUCCCCGAUGACGGACAUCACGGCAAGUGGUGGUUGCCGAACCGUCGCGUCAUGUCGUGCAUGCCAUUCUUUGUCGCGGGGCUGGCUCAUCGACCCUUAAGUACCAUCAACUGUGGUACCUCAACUGCGACCCCAGGUCAGGCGGGAUUACCCGCU
rnacentral:rRNA from 1 species